rnacentral:rRNA from 1 species
GACGAACGCUGGCGGCGUGCUUAACACAUGCAAGUCGAACGGAAAGGCCCUGCUUUUGUGGGGUGCUCGUGUGGCGAACGGGUGAGUAACACGUGAGUAACCUGCCCCUGACUUUGGGAUAACUUUUGGAAACUGGGGCUCAUACCGGAUAGGAGCUCUUGCUGCAUGUUGGGGGUUGGAAAGUUACGGCGGUUGGGGAUGGACUCGCGGCUUAUGAGCUUGUUAGUGAGGUAGUGGCUUACCAAGGCUUUGACGGGUAGCCGGCCUGAGAGGGUGACCGGCGACAUUAGGACUGAGAGACGGCCCAGAAUCCUACGUGAGGCAGAGGUGGGGAAUAUGGCGCAAUGGGCGGGAGCCUGAUGCAGCAACGCCGCGAGCGGGAUGACGGCCUUCGGGUUGUGAACCGCUUUCGCCUGUGACAAGGCGGGAUUGACGGUAAUGAGUAAGAAAGCAACGGCUAACUACGUG